CCCACAUGAAGUUGGAGUUGCUAGUAAUCGCGGAUCAGCAUGCCGCGGUGAAUACGUUCCCGGGCCUUGUACACACCGCCCGUCACACCAUGGGAGUUGGGAGCGCCCGAAGCCGGUGAGGUAACCGAGAGGAGCCAGCCGUCGAAGGUGAGACCAAUGACUGGGGUGAAGUCGUAACAAGGUAAC
rnacentral:rRNA from 1 species